rnacentral:tRNA from 1 species
AGUAUUACGCCGGUAUGAACGGAUAACUCUGAUGAUGUUAAUUAUAGGAACCUCUCCUUAAUACUC